rnacentral:tRNA from 1 species
UCCUUGGUGGUUCAGUGGUUAAGACUCUGAGAUCAUAAUGCAGGGGACCCAGGUUUGAACCCUGGUCAGGGAA